rnacentral:rRNA from 1 species
AACGUAGGAGACAAACGUUAUCCGGAGUUACUGGGCGUAAAGGGCGUGUAGGUGGUUGUGUAAGUCUGGCGUGAAAUUUUUCGGCUUAACCGGGAAAGGUCGUCGGAUACUGCAGAACUAGAGGACGGUAGAGGCGUGUGGAAUUCCGGGUGUAGUGGUGAAAUGCGUAGAGAUCCGGAAGAACACCAGUGGCGAAGGCGGCCCACUGGCUCGACACUGACGCUGAGGUGCGAAAGCGUGGGGAGCAAACAGG